CUAGCCAUUUUGAAGUUGCAAAAUUGUACUUAUAUUGAAGUGUUGAGAAAAAGAAAAUCCGAAUGCAAAUCCUAUCCUUUUUGUUUGCUGUUUCUCUGUUUCACAUGAUAUGAUUUUCAAGAAGAGAUAUGGUAAGAAAUGAAUAGAAAAUCUUGUAGCAAGUCAUGUUUUUGUCUCUUACUUCCCUUCCAUUAUUUUACUUCUAUUUCCUAAUUCUUAAAGAAAUUACUGUUCAACUCGGUAGCCUUGUUAUUUGUACAGAACUUUUAGGUUUAG
rnacentral:misc_RNA from 1 species